GAUGAACGCUGGCGGCGUGCCUAAUACAUGCAAGUCGAGCGAACAGACGAGGAGCUUGCUCCUCUGACGUUAGCGGCGGACGGGUGAGUAACACGUGGAUAACCUACCUAUAAGACUGGGAUAACUUCGGGAAACCGGAGAUAAUACCGGCUCAUAUAUUGAACCGCAUGGUUCGAUAGUGAAAGACGGUUUUGCUGUCUCUUAUAGAUGGAUCCGCGCCGCAUUAGCUAGUUGGUAAGGUAACGGCUUACCAAGGCAACGAUGCGUAGCCGACCUGAGAGGGUGAUCGGCCACACUGGAACUGAGACACGGUCCAGACUCCUACGGGAGGCAGCAGUAGGGAAUCUUCCACAAUGGGCGAAAGCCUGACGGAGCAACACCGCGUGAGUGAUGAAGGUCUUCGGAUCGUAAAACUCUGUUAUUAGGAAAGAACAGAUGUAUAAGUAACUAUGCACGUCUUGACGGUACCUAAUCAGAAAGCCACGGCUAACUACGUG
rnacentral:rRNA from 1 species